UACAGAGGUGCCAAGCGUUAGGCGGAAUCACUGGGCUUAAAGCGCGUGUAGGUGGGUCGUUAAGUGUCCGCGUGAAAUCCCACGGCUCAACCGUGGAACUGCCGGGCAUACUGGCGAUCUUGAGGCAUUCAGGGGCGUGCGGAACAAGUGGUGGAGCGGUGAAAUGCGUAGAUAUCGGGAGGAACACCAAUGGCGAAGGCAGCUCGCUGGGACGUUACUGACGCUGAGACGCGAAAGCGUGGGGAGCAAACAGG
rnacentral:rRNA from 1 species